rnacentral:lncRNA from 1 species
UGAGAAGUUGUAGUGAACCCAUCUUAGACUCCUCUUGCACUCGUUGGUGUUCUUCCCUUUCUUCGACCAACGCAGAGAGCUUGUUCUUCGUAGGGCACUCUCUCGCCUUAUGUGGUCCGUCGCAGAAGAAACACUUAAUACGAGGCUUUUCUCCACCUUUGUCAUCCUUGUUGCCAUGGUUACCUCCCUCUCUGGGCUUGUCAAACCUGUAGGAGCCUUCCUUUUUGUGGUGGCGAUCUCCCCCAUUCUUUCCGUUACCGUUCCUUUCUUGGUCAGGCUUGUGCUUGUCUUGCCUCCUGAUCUCUAUCAAGGAUUCGGCCACGACAAUGGCGGUGUUGAGAUCUUGGACACCACGGCGCUCCAACUCCAACCUUGCCCAAAUCUGCAACCCAUCCGUGAAUGCAAACAAGGCUUCUUCAUCGGUAUAGUUGGGAAUUUCAAGAAGUGUGUCGGUGAA